CAUAUCAUGUUGAAACACCAGUUCCCAUAUGAUUACCUAGGUUAACCAACAUCAAGCCUGGCCAGCACCUAGAUGGGUGACUGCUUGGGAAAACCAGGUGCUGUAAG